CGACCCCAGCUCAGGCGAGAACACCCGCUGAGUUUAAGCAUAUAAUUAAGCGGAGGAAAAGAAACUUACAAGGAUUCCCC
rfam:Picea glauca, whole genome shotgun sequence.